GCAGCUCUGGAACACACGUGGGUUCUGUGGGCUCCGAGCUGCUCCGGGGGACACGCCGCAGGCCCCUGUGGGCUGAGCUGGCAUCUCAGCUUGGAUGGGGGGGGACACUCUGCAGCAACACAGGGCUGGCAUUUCAGACGCUUCCUGCAACGCUCCCAAGUUGUGUUUUGGUUUCGGUUCUGUGUUUUCCACAGCCCCUGCAACGCUGUCCGUGUCCUGUUUCUUGGUCUGGAAGGUAUUUUGUGGAGGACCUCGCUUUGUGACCAGGCACUGGGCUGUCCAGAUGGGAUGUGUGCACUUUUCUCUUGUGGCUCCACACCCCACAUGAGGUAUAGGGGUGUGUGGCUCCCACAGGUUGUCCCCAGAGCGGAGGAAACGGGCUUCUGGCUGCCACCAGAGGGGCCUGGUGUCCAGCCCGGCGGAGGUCGGCAGUGCAGGAGAGGACAGACGGAGCACCCGGCCCUGGUGUUCCGGCGAACCUGCUGCAGGAUUUCUGAACUCCGCACGGAAGGACGUGGAGCGGGCUCUCAGCCAUUCCUGCCACCGCGGCCGUCGCUGCCCUCCGAGGGCUCGUAAACUCGGAAGGCGGUUCUCGGACAGCCCUGGAGCCCCCGCCCGGCCGACCCCAGCGUGCUUCGACGUGGUUCUCUCCGUCAAGCUGGCAGCAUCUGGCUGGUGCGAUGGUCCGCGCAGGUCAAGGUCACCAUCUGCCAACGGUCAGGAGAGGGUGAGGAGAGGCGUGGAGGUGUUCCAGAAUGCAAAUGGUGUGGACCCGCAGGGGAUUAGAGUUGUUGGAAGGCCUGGGCUCGGAAGCCAUCACUCAGGCGGGGAGGAGAGGAACGCGGGCUCCUUCCCAUAGAGCGGGAGCCCUCGCCCAGGGGACCCGCUGCCACUGACGAGCUCAGGGUGGGGGGGCAGGGGUUGUAGGCUGCCAGGUGCCUGGGGCUCAGGUUGAGGGGCUGAUACCGGGGGCUCCUUGGGCACGUCCAGGGCACAGAGGAGACUCCAUGAGUCAGCGGCUUCUAAGUCUGCACGAGACAAGACCCUUCACACGCCUUUCUCCGGUUGGUAGGGGAAGCAGCCCAGCCUCCCAGCGCACGGCGGGCGGGAUGCUCGUUUUUAUUUUACCUGCUUUACUGUCUCGGCCGAAGUGGCUCCACGACGUCCAGCCACGCACAACCUGGCCUUCUGAGUUUCCACUCACUCCCUUGCGCACUCAGUGGAAACUCUUCUGGUGCCUGCUACGUGUCGUGGGACGCUCUCCCAGACAGCGGGGACCCAAGAGCUUCCCAGCUCUGGUGGUUGGAAAUUUCUUGGUUUUAAGUUUCAAUUUCAUGCACUUUUCCUGAAACAUUGGCAUGUACGACUGGUGGCUGUAGGAGGAUCCCUCCAAGACCGUGUCUGGCUGGGCCCGAAGCGUGGACAUUAAAUGAUUUAUGGUUCA